UACGGAGGAGCUAGCGUUGUUCGGAUAUACUGGGCGUAAAGCGCACGUAGGCGGCGUCGUAAGUCAGGGGUGAAAUCCCGGAGCUCAACUCCGGAACUGCCUUUAAGACUGCAUCGCUAGAAUUGUGGAGAGGUGAGUGGAAUUCCGAGUGUAGAGGUGAAAUUCGUAGAUAUUCGGAAGAACACCAGUGGCGAAGGCGGUUCUCUGGGCAUGAUCUGACGCUGAGGAGCGAAAGUGUGGGGAGCGAACAGGA
rnacentral:rRNA from 1 species